rnacentral:rRNA from 1 species
AAAUUGAAGAGUUUGAUCAUGGCUCAGAUUGAACGCUGGCGGCAGGCCUAACACAUGCAAGUCGAGCGGAAACGAGUUAUCUGAACCUUCGGGAAACGAUAACGGCGUCGAGCGGCGGACGGGUGAGUAAUGCCUAGGAAAUUGCCCUGAUGUGGGGGAUAACCAUUGGAAACGAUGGCUAAUACCGCAUGAUGCCUACGGGCCAAAGAGGGGGACCUUCGGGCCUCUCGCGUCAGGAUAUGCCUAGGUGGGAUUAGCUAGUUGGUGAGGUAAGGGCUCACCAAGGCGACGAUCCCUAGCUGGUCUGAGAGGAUGAUCAGCCACACUGGAACUGAGACACGGUCCAGACUCCUACGGGAGGCAGCAGUGGGGAAUAUUGCACAAUGGGCGCAAGCCUGAUGCAGCCAUGCCGCGUGUGUGAAGAAGGCCUUCGGGUUGUAAAGCACUUUCAGUCGUGAGGAAGGUAGUGUAGUUAAUAGCUGCAUUAUUUGACGUUAGCGACAGAAGAAGCACCGGCUAACUCCGUGCCAGCAGCCGCGGUAAUACGGAGGGUGCGAGCGUUAAUCGGAAUUACUGGGCGUAAAGCGCAUGCAGGUGGUUUGUUAAGUCAGAUGUGAAAGCCCGGGGCUCAACCUCGGAAUAGCAUUUGAAACUGGCAGACUAGAGUACUGUAGAGGGGGGUAGAAUUUCAGGUGUAGCGGUGAAAUGCGUAGAGAUCUGAAGGAAUACCGGUGGCGAAGGCGGCCCCCUGGACAGAUACUGACACUCAGAUGCGAAAGCGUGGGGAGCAAACAGGAUUAGAUACCCUGGUAGUCCACGCCGUAAACGAUGUCUACUUGGAGGUUGUGGCCUUGAGCCGUGGCUUUCGGAGCUAACGCGUUAAGUAGACCGCCUGGGGAGUACGGUCGCAAGAUUAAAACUCAAAUGAAUUGACGGGGGCCCGCACAAGCGGUGGAGCAUGUGGUUUAAUUCGAUGCAACGCGAAGAACCUUACCUACUCUUGACAUCCAGAGAACUUUCCAGAGAUGGAUUGGUGCCUUCGGGAACUCUGAGACAGGUGCUGCAUGGCUGUCGUCAGCUCGUGUUGUGAAAUGUUGGGUUAAGUCCCGCAACGAGCGCAACCCUUAUCCUUGUUUGCCAGCGAGUAAUGUCGGGAACUCCAGGGAGACUGCCGGUGAUAAACCGGAGGAAGGUGGGGACGACGUCAAGUCAUCAUGGCCCUUACGAGUAGGGCUACACACGUGCUACAAUGGCGCAUACAGAGGGCGGCCAACUUGCGAAAGUGAGCGAAUCCCAAAAAGUGCGUCGUAGUCCGGAUUGGAGUCUGCAACUCGACUCCAUGAAGUCGGAAUCGCUAGUAAUCGUGGAUCAGAAUGCCACGGUGAAUACGUUCCCGGGCCUUGUACACACCGCCCGUCACACCAUGGGAGUGGGCUGCAAAAGAAGUAGGUAGUUUAACCUUCGGGGGGACGCUUACCACUUUGUGGUUCAUGACUGGGGUGAAGUCGUAACAAGGUAGCGCUAGGGGAACCUGGCGCUGGAUCACCUCCUUA